UGCUUGUCCUACAGUUUAAGCCAUGCAUGUCUAAGUACAGCUUUAAUUAUGAAUGCGAAACCGCAGAUAGCUCAUUAAAUCAGUUUUGGUUGAGUAGAUGAUCCAUGAGGUGCUUGGAUAACCGUGGUAAUUCCAGAGCUAAUACAUGCAACUAAGCUCCGACCUGUAGGACCAGGAGUGUGUGCAAGGUUGGCUGAAAAGCCUGCUGUUGCUGCCUGGUCGCAAGGGAAGAGCGCUUUUAUUAGAUCAAACCCCAUGUUUACAUGGGGUUGUGAUGACUCCGGAUAACAUUUGUGAGCGAAUUUGCUUCGGUUCUCGGCGCCACCUCUAUUAAGUGUCUGAUUUAUCAGCUUGAUUGUAGGAUAUCUGCCUACCAUAGCUGUAACGAGUAACGGGGAAUCAGGGUUUGAUUCCGGAGAGGGAGCCUGAGAAACUGCUACCACAUUUAAGGAAGGCAGCAGGCACGAAACUUACCCACUCUCAGAGCUGGGAGGUAGUGACAAAAUAUACCGAUGCGUGUCUCAUUUGGGGCACGUAAUCGGAAAGAAUACACUCUAAACUCUUGUUAGAGGAUCAAUUGGAGGGCAAGUCUGGUGCCAGCAGCCGCGGUAAUUCCAGCUCCAAUAGCAUAUAUUAAUAUUGUUGUGGUUAAAAAGCUCUUAAUUGGAUUGUCUGAUAUGGACUGAUGGUGCGUGCACCGUUGGUUCAAAUAGAUAGUCAGCUUGCAUGCGAGGCUCUUUAUUGAGUGUCGUGCGUGGCUGGCAUGAUUACUUUGAAAAAAUUAGAGUGCUUAAAGCAGGUUAAUGCCUGAAUAUGAUGCAUGGAAUAAUGAAAUAGGACCUCGGUUCUAUCUUAUUGGUUUACUGAACCUGAGUUAAUGAUUAAUUGAGACGAACGGGGGCAUUCGUAUUGCAGCGCGAGAGGUGAAAUUCUAUGACCGUCGCA
rnacentral:rRNA from 1 species